rnacentral:rRNA from 1 species
UUGUACAGUGAAACUGCGAAUGGCUCAUUAAAUCAGUUAUCGUUUAUUUGAUAGUGCCCAACCACAUGGAUAACCGUGGUAAUUCUAGAGCUAAUACAUGCGACGAACCGCGACUUCGGGAGCGGUGUAUUUAUUAGAUUAAAGACCAACGCCCUUCGGGGCUGUCCGGUGAUUCAUAAUAACUCCUCUGAUCGCACGGCCUUGCGCUGGCGACGGCUCAUUCAAAUUUCUGCCCUAUCAACUUUCGACUUUAGUGUAGUGGACUAAAGUGGUUGCAACGGGUAACGGAGGGUUAGGGCUCGACCCCGGAGAAGGAGCCUGAGAAACGGCUACUACAUCCAAGGAAGGCAGCAGGCGCGCAAAUUACCCAAUCCCGACACGGGGAGGUAGUGACAAUAAAUACUGAUACAGGGCUCUUUCGGGUCUUGUAAUCGGAAUGAGUACAAUUUAAAUCCCUUAACGAGGAACAAUUGGAGGGCAAGUCUGGUGCCAGCAGCCGCGGUAAUUCCAGCUUCAAUAGCGUAUAUUAAAGUUGUUGUGGUUAAAAAGCUCGUAGUUGAACCUGGGCCCCGCGCCCGCCGGUCCGCCUCACCGCGUGCACUGGUGUGGCCGGGGCUUCCACCUGGGGGUACGCAUGCCCUUCGCUGGGCGUGCGGGGAGCCAGGACCUUUACUGUGAAAAAAUUAGAGUGUUCAAAGCAGGCCUAUGCUCGAAUACAUUAGCAUGGAAUAAUAGAAUAGGACGUGCGGUUCUAUUUUGUUGGUUAUGGGACCGCCGUAAUGAUUAAUAGGGACAGUCGGGGGCGUCAGUAUUCGGUGGUCAGAGGUGAAAUUCUUGGACCCACCGAAGACUAACUACUGCGAAAGCAUUCGCCAAGGAUGUUUUCAUUAAUCAGGAACGAAAGUUAGGGGAUCGAAGACGAUCAGAUACCGUCGUAGUCUUAACCAUAAACUAUGCCGACUAGGGAUCGGGCGAUGUUGCUUUCUGACUCGCUCGGCACCUUUCGAGAAAUCAAAGUCUGUGGGUUCCU